ensembl:misc_RNA Metazoa_SRP Metazoan signal recognition particle RNA
GCUGGGCAUGGUGGCACACGCCUGUAAUCCCAGCUACCUGGGAGGCUGAGGCAGGAGAAUCGCUUGAACCAGGGAGUUGGAGGUUGCAGUGAGCCAAGAUGGUGCCACUGCACUCCAGCCUGGGUGACAGAGCGAGACUCUGUCUCAA